AUAAAUUUGAUUAAAGGAUGUGUAUUUGAAACCUGCUACACUGACUGCUAAAUUAAAAAACACAUCUCAUUUAUUAUUGCUGGUUUGUGUUUUUAAUUGUUUUUUUGAGUUGGACGCUUUCUCCUUUGGGCGUUGAAAGACACGUGGAUAAUGCAGCGUACCUCCUCUACGCCUUCAUAGCCCUGUACAAUGCUGCUUGAUCAAGACGGCACAAGGCAGCACCGUAAAGAGGCUGAACGCAAAGAGGAAACGACCAGCGGGGACACCGGAGGGCGACGGAUUUCUCCACAUGACAGGUUCAUCUAAACCUGUAAAAGCAAACAGAGGAGAACAACUGCAGACCCACCGUGCGGAAAUCAGACUCAAACUUGUACGCCCCCCCUCCUGUGGCGCAGAGGGUGGUGUGGAGGCUGGAGAAAUGCUUGUUGCGGCCCAUCUGCAGGAAGGCCGGCAGGUCAUGCGUGGGGAAGCGGAUGAAGUGCAGGUUGCCCGUCCUGCCGCACAGCGUCAGGUCCUGCAGCUCCAGGUGCACGUCCCUGAUGCCCGUUUUACCAUAGGCGGUGUUGGAGGUGAGGUAGCGCCGGAU